AGUCGAACGAGAGAUGAGGAGCUUGCUCUUCAAAUCGAGUGGCGAACGGGUGAGUAACGCGUGAGGAACCUGCCUCAAAGAGGGGGACAACAGUUGGAAACGACUGCUAAUACCGCAUAAGCCCACGGCUCGGCAUCGAGCAGAGGGAAAAGGAGCAAUCCGCUUUGAGAUGGCCUCGCGUCCGAUUAGCUAGUUGGUGAGGUAACGGCCCACCAAGGCGACGAUCGGUAGCCGGACUGAGAGGUUGAACGGCCACAUUGGGACUGAGACACGGCCCAGACUCCUACGGGAGGCAGCAGUGGGGAAUAUUGCACAAUGUGGGAAACCCUGAUGCAGCGACGCCGCGUGGAGGAAGAAGGUCUUCGGAUUGUAAACUCCUGUUGUUGAGGAAGAUAAUGACGGUACUCAACAAGGAAGUGACGGCUAACUACGUGCCAGCAGCCGCGGUAAAACGUAGGUCACAAGCGUUGUCCGGAAUUACUGGGUGUAAAGGGAGCGCAGGCGGGAGAACAAGUUGGAAGUGAAAUCCAUGGGCUCAACCCAUGAACUGCUUUCAAAACUGUUUUUCUUGAGUAGUGCAGAGGUAGGCGGAAUUCCCGGUGUAGCGGUGGAAUGCGUAGAUAUCGGGAGGAACACCAGUGGCGAAGGCGGCCUACUGGGCACCAACUGACGCUGAGGCUCGAAAGUGUGGGUAGCAAACAGGAUUAGAUACCCUGGUAGUCCACACCGUAAACGAUGAUUACUAGGUGUUGGAGGAUUGACCCCUUCAGUGCCGCAGUUAACACAAUAAGUAAUCCACCUGGGGAGUACGACCGCAAGGUUGAAACUCA
rnacentral:rRNA from 1 species